rnacentral:rRNA from 1 species
GAUGAACGCUGGCGGCGUGCCUAAUACAUGCAAGUCGAGCGAACAGACGAGGAGCUUGCUCCUCUGACGUUAGCGGCGGACGGGUGAGUAACACGUGGAUAACCUACCUAUAAGACUGGGAUAACUUCGGGAAGCCGGAGCUAAUACCGGAUAAUAUAUUGAACCACAUGGUUCAAUAGUGAAAGACGGUGUUGCUGGCACUUAUAGAUGGAUCCGCGCCGCAUUAGGUGGUUGGUAAGGUAACGGCUUACCAAGGCAAGGAUGCGUAGCCGACCUGAGAGGGUGAUCGGCCACACUGGAACUGAGCCACGGUCCAGACUCCUACGGGAGGCAGCAGUAGGGAAUCUUCCGCAAUGGGCGAAAGCCUGACGGAGCAACGCCGCGUGAGUGAUGAAGGUCUUCGGAUCGUAAAACUCUGUUAUUAGGGAAGAACAAAUGUGUAAGUAACUAUGCACGUCUUGACGGUACCUAAUCAGAAAGCCACGGCUAACUACGUG